UACGUAGGGGGCAAGCGUUGUCCGGAUUUAUUGGGCGUAAAGAGCGUGUAGGCGGCCAGACAGGUCUGCUGUGAAAACUCGAGGCUCAACCUCGAGACGCCGGUGGAAACCGUCUGGCUAGAGUCCGGAAGAGGAGAGUGGAAUUCCUGGUGUAGCGGUGAAAUGCGUAGAUCUCGGGAGGAACACCAAUGGCGAAGGCUGCUUCUUGGCUCAUUGCUGACGCUGAGGAGCGAAAGCGUGGGGAGCGAACAGG
rnacentral:rRNA from 1 species